AACAAAAACCACCGCGAGCUCCUCUCUCCCCCGUGCAGCGAACCCUAGCACCUCUCUCCCCCGCACACCACUCCUCCUCCCUUCCAGAUCGCAGCCGCCACCUCCUCCUUUCUAGAUCGACGCCUCCACCUCCCUCCGGCCGAGCUCCCCGCCGUCCAUGGCCUUCCCCACGCCCUCCUCCUCUCUCCCAUCCCCUUCCCUCACCGCGAGCCCUUCUCCCCCGCGAGCCCUCUCUCUCUCCCUCUCGCGACUCCUCUGCUCCACUCGAUUCCGGCGAGUUGAGGCGGCUCUCGCCGGCGCGCAGCACACCCCGGGCUCCCCUCAUGCAGCUCUUCCCCCCUCCCGUCAGAUCCGUCUCUCGCACCCUCUAGUGCAAGCCCGCAACAUCACCCGUGGCUAGGGUUUCGGCCGCCACUUUAACUUCAUCGGGAUCUGCCACAUGCGACGACGGUGAGGCCAGAGGUGGCUGGAUCUAGCACCGAUAUGCGUUCGCCGUGUUCCUGGUCUCCGGCUAUGGUGAGGGGCGGGAGCAUGCGCCGGAGUUCACCUCCUCCGGGCGGGCGGGCGGGCUGGGUGGCCUCCUCCUCCGGGAGGCGGCCGGGAGCACUGGGCCUGGACCACGGACACCCCGAGCCGCCGGACCCGGAUCACAGACGCCGGCAUCGUCUUCUCCGACUCAGACUAGGGCACCGCUGCUCCCGUCUCCAGUCCCUUGCCAUUAGAGCACGGACGCCACUGCUACCGCCUCCAGUCCUGACAGGUGACAGCCGAUGCCCUCAUCUCCUUCGGCACUGGUUGUCCCUGUUUCCAGUGCCGAUCCUGGCCUCGUGGGUGGUGGCCUCAUGGACUCGAUACAUAAAGGACCGCAAGAGAUUAUAUGGCAGGAUACUGGACAGUAAAAGUGUCAAGUCCUCCAUUCAAGCAAAGUCCAAGUAUCGGUCCGAGAUGGAGUAGUUUCUCCUGCCUGUGCAAUGUUCUUUCCAGCAUCUCAGCUGUGUACUCUAAUUACUGGAGUAUUCUGUAGAUUAUUUUCAAUUAAAUUAGUCCAGAGAUGAGUCUUUUCCAUUAACUAAAUCUAAAUGAAACAUUAGAUGAAACUUGACAGAGAUUAUUUAAAUAUUGCAGUAACUAUUUGACACAAAUAUUGUCAUGCAUCAGCAGUAGCAUUAGAUGAAACUUUUAUAGUAGGACUUGCUGUUACAGUGGGACUUAUCUCUGUAAUUUAGCCAAACUUCAUGUCACCAUGCGAAUAAUGUUUUUGCUCAGAAUUAUUUUCUGUUUGUGUGGUGCUAAACUGCCAAUAGAAGACGAGAUGUCUUGUUGAACAACGCCGCAAUUGCAUUGUUGUAUGUUAUUUAGGGGUUGUCCCAGUUGCAUAAGACCUGGAGUAAGAAUAGGUCUAGUACUAAUUUUGUGUCUGUGGGCAUGUACAUGUGCACUUGGGCCUUCUAUAUACACAUAAUUCAAAGCAUAUUUUACUGUGCAUUUUGUAUCUUUGCUCAGUACAGAAUGUAUUGCAAGUGUUGUUCAUUAUUUUUUCCUUUUGUCUAAAUAUAUCACAAAAAGUUAUGUAUGGAGUAGUGAUUGUCUAAUGUCCUCUUAGGUUACCAAAUGGAUGAAGCAAAAUCUUGUGUGACCCCGUAGCGUAGCACGAGCAUCCUACUAGUUAGUAUGAUAUGUAUGUGUUAGGUUUGUCCAGUCCAUCAAUGUCGGUAAAUGUGUUGUGGUCUAUGAAUGUGUAUAGAUUUUUUUAAUUUUGUUGGCUGUUGCAACACUUGGAUUAUUUAUUAAUAUAACCCAGCAGCGAUGCUUCCAUUUUAACACAUGUACUAGUGUGCUAAACUACUACUGUACCUGCUUCUUCUUAGCCUGAGUAGUACAUCAGGCUUGUAUUAACUUGUGUUAAUUGUAUUAACUUGUAGCCUAGUCACUGCAGUCAUCUUGUGCUUUUAUCUUCUUUGUGAUGUCAUGUGCCUUUGAGUCUACUUAUUGAAGACCUUAUGCUCAUAUAUCUUUUUAGUCCCUCUAUUUCCAUAAAUGUGACACUGUUUUGUUUCUAACUACUUGACACAUACAAGUUUGAGGGCAUUAUCCUAAACUCCUGCUAUGAUCUCUAUGUUCUAUUUUGUCUGUUUAUACAAGUGUUUAUGGGGUGCUAAAUCUGAUGUGAAUGGCGUCAAGGAUCAGAAUAUUCAGUUUUUGUUUUACUUCAGUUCAUGUUGAGUUCCAUAACAGAACUGCUUGAUGUUGUUACCUAUGGAAAUCUCCUUAGUGUUCUUAAAGCAGCCUUAUUUAAUCUUCUUCAGGUUUUCAAGGGGGUUUUGUUUAUGAUAGCCAUGGAGCAGGAAAAACCGACGUGCUACUAAAGCUAAAAUGGUUAUGAGAAGAUAUGCUGCUGGAAAGACGCUCUUAGCAAACUGGAAGGGCUGCAACCAAAUCCAAUCGACAACAUGGCAGUGGUCUCCGAAUAUCUAAGCUAGUGAUCAUAUUUUCAGCGAUUCCUUUUCUGUUUGGCCUUCUUGUAGGUAGUGUACAUUAGUUGUCUGUUGGAGUUGUGAUGGAAGUAUAUCUUUUUUGUUGCUUCGCUGUCGUUUGAUAUAGAUGGCAUUCUUCUAGUUGCUGCUGCUUAUGUAUAGAUAAUCUGAUGAAGAUGUACAUAUGAUAUAUGAUUGUACGGCGAAACAAAUAUUGCUUUGAUAGCAAAAUAAAAAAACUCAUCUA